AAUAGUUGAUCCAACAUUUGGUGAGUAAAUUUUAGCCUUUGAAGUAAAAUAAUCAACCUAUCAAUUUAUUAUUUAAUUUAUCAAUUUGUAUGGAUCUAAUUUACUGCGGCAGAUUGUGAGCUAAAAGUGUUGGAAAUUUCAAAUAAACCUGGAAAUGGCCGAGUCUGACUUGUCCAUGUUUUAUGUGGCUGCCUUUCAAACAAUCGUUUCAAAUUGGUCAAAUUAAUCAUGCUGUGUUUAAUUGUGGAGUGAUAAUCAUUUUAAAAUAGUCCGAUAGUCGCAAUUAAAAAGGCAAUCUUGCCAUAAACUGUGUGUUACUCUGGAAAUAACUCAUUUUGAUGGCUUUUCAAACGAUUCCAGCUUAUGCAAACAAACAUAAAUUCCAGUGGAAGAUACCUUUCAAUCUGGUUUUGAUUGUUGGAUGGACAUAAACUAUAAUUAUAGUAACAAUAAAAGACGUGGAAAAAGUGUGCAAAGUGAUAAAAAAAUGGACUAAAAAACAAAAAGGUUAACAAGGUACAAAUGUUUGCUUUCAUAAAGUUUAAGACCUUUCUUUAAACUCGCCAAGACGUUAUCAUUAAAUUAUCAGGUGAGGCAUCAAUUAAAUUAGCCAAAUCUUUGGAUUGUCAAUGAUAAGGGAAACCUCAACCAUGGUGUAAUGAAACCUCAAUGAUUCCUAAUUUAUUAAAAGGUAAUCACCAUCAUCAACAUCAUCAAGGUAACCACAAAACUUGUUUCAACCUUAGACUUUAAUACCUCAGCUUGGUACAAGUAUUAAGUCAGCAUUAGAUGAAUAGACAAGUCUCAAAUUGAAUGAUACAAGGUAAUUCAAAUUAGGUGAUUUGGAAGAGAGAAAAAAAUUUAUCCUAAUUGAAAGAAACGCUGAGAAUGAUCAAGAUGAAUAUCUAAUCACAUUGUAUCAAUAAUAACAUUAAAUAUCAUCUUGAUCCUCUUCUUCAACCUUUCUUUCAACCAUCUUCAUCUAAAAUUUACAUAUUUUCCCCAUUCCUUUGUUAUUCAUCUUAAUUCAUCUUUCCUCUUCCUUUUCCUUCUUCUUUCUUCAGCAAAUCUUUAAUCUGAUCCUGAUCAUUGAUCAAUGAUCAAUCACAAAUAGAUUGAUUAAAUUAAUUAACUAAAGCCACGAGUCAAGUUGUAUUUUGAGCUGUAAAUGUUGUAAUGGUUUGCUUUGGAUGGUUAAUUACUGCAGGCCUAAUCAAAAUUAUCCGCUAUUCAAGUAAUUAUUUGCUUUCUGUUCACUGAAACAAACAAAACACAAAAUGAUUAUUAAUCUGUUAUCUAUAUUCAUCAGUCAAUGUAAUGUCUUAACUCAACAGGGAAUGUCAACCCAGCAUGAUAUCAAUUCAAUUUUCAUUGGUACGUGUUUCCUUGUUUAUGUUUACUGUGAGUAAACACAAUUAAAAAUUUAUACCAACUGUCAUGUUGAUUAACCUUCAGGUAACACUCUGGAAAAAACAACUCAUCUGAUCAACAAUCAGGUAAAAGUACAACCGAAAUAGGCAUAAACAAAAUUGAAAAAAAAAGCAAACCAUUCCAAAUCAAUCAAAUUGGUAAAACUUGUAAAUCCAAGCACAAGAAUUACCUUAUUGCCUUAAUCAAUUCAUAAUCAUUUUCCCAUUCCAGUUGAAUGUUAAUUCCCAAUAUUUGUACCACUUUCAUCUCAAUAAUAGGUAAGAAUCGAGAAGAAAGUUUCUCUCUUCGCCAUUCAUAUGGUUAUGAUUAUGGUUAUAAUUUUUCACUUAUAUCAUUUUACCAAAAAGUGAAAGGAUCAUAAGAAUAGAGGAAUAAAAUCUAAUUUGAUGCUCAUCCGGUUCAUGGGGCUUUUUGGGUAACCAUUUUCACCAUCGACAGAAACAGAAUUGAUGUUAGCAUGGGGUCAAUAUUACCAAUAAAAUAUCUCUGGUUUCAUUUCUGGAUAAACAGUGAAAUAAUAAUGAUAAUAGGUUAUAUUGAGUUGCCUUCCUUUGCCUUUGUAAGCCUAUUUGUAUGGAGCAUUUCUUGAUCAAUAACAAGCAUUUUCCUCUCUGUGUAAAAAUUAC